UGGGGGAUAUUGCACAAUGGGCGAAAGCCUGAUGCAGCGACGCCGCGUGGGGGAUGAAGGCCUUCGGGUUGUAAACUUCUUUUGCUCUGAACAAGGCAUGCUAAUGGGUGUGUUGAGUGUAGGGGUUGAUUAGCGCCGGCUAACUACGUGCCAGCAGCCGCGGUAAUACGUAGGGCGCGAGCGUUGUCCGGAAUUAUUGGGCGUAAAGGGCUUGUAGGUGGCUGGUUGCGUCUGUCGUGAAAGCUCAUGGCUUAACUGUGGGUUUGCGGUGGGUACGGGCUGGCUUGAGUGCAGUAGGGGAGGCUGGAAUUCCGGGUGUAGCGGUGGAAUGCGCAGAUAUCAGGAGGAAUACCGGUGGCGAAGGCGGGUCUCUGGGCUGUUACUGACACUGAGGAGCGAAAGCAUGGGGAGCGAACAGG
rnacentral:rRNA from 1 species